rnacentral:rRNA from 1 species
CAGCCGUAAACUAUGCGCGUUAGGUGUAUCGGUGACCACGAGUUACCGAGGUGCCGAAGGGAAACCGUGAAACGUGCCGCCUGGGAAGUACGGUCGCAAGGCUGAAACUUAAAGGAAUUGGCGGGGAAGCACCACAACAGGUGGAGCCUGCGGUUUAAUUGGACUCAACGCCGGGAAGCUCACCGGAUAGGACAGCAGAAUGAUUGCCGGGCUGAAGACCCUGCAUGACUAGCUGAGAGGAGGUGCAUGGCGUAGACGUCU